rnacentral:rRNA from 1 species
AUUGAACGCUGGCGGCAGGCUUAACACAUGCAAGUCGAGCGAGCGGCGGACGGGUGAGUAAUGUCUGGGAAACUGCCUGAUGGAGGGGGAUAACUACUGGAAACGGUAGCUAAUACCGCAUACCAUCAGAUGUGCCCAGAUGGGAUUAGCUAGUAGGGGGGGUAAUGGCUCACCUAGGCGACGAUCCCUAGCUGGUCUGAGAGGAGGACCAACCCCCAUGGGAAUGAGACAAGGUGCAGACUCCUACGGGAGGCAGCAGUGGGGGAUAUUGGAAAAUGGGCGCAAGCCUGAUGCAGCCAUGGCGGGUGUGAGGAGAAGGCCUUCGGGUUGGAAAGCACUUUCAGCGAGGAGGCGUUUCUCGCAGAAGAAGCACCGGCUAACUCCGUGGCAGCAGCCGCGGUAAUAC